rnacentral:rRNA from 1 species
AGCGAACGCUGGCGGCAGGCCUAAUACAUGCAAGUCGAACGCACCUUCGGGUGAGUGGCGGACGGGUGAGUAACGCGUGGGAACGUGCCCUUUGGUACGGAACAACUGAGGGAAACUUCAGCUAAUACCGUACGUGCCCUUCGGGGGAAAGAUUUAUCGCCAUUGGAGCGGCCCGCGUUGGAUUAGCUAGUUGGUGGGGUAAAGGCCCACCAAGGCUACGAUCCAUAGCUGGUCUGAGAGGAUGAUCAGCCACACUGGGACUGAGACACGGCCCAGACUCCUACGGGAGGCAGCAGUAGGGAAUCUUGCGCAAUGGGCGAAAGCCUGACGCAGCCAUGCCGCGUGAAUGAUGAAGGUCUUAGGAUUGUAAAAUUCUUUCACCGGGGACGAUAAUGACGGUACCCGGAGAAGAAGCUCCGGCUAACUUCGUGCCAGCAGCCGCGGUAACAC